rnacentral:rRNA from 1 species
AUUGAACGCUGGCGGCAGGCUUAACACAUGCAAGUCGAGCGGAGAUGAGGUGCUUGCACCUUAUCUUAGCGGCGGACGGGUGAGUAAUGCUUAGGAACAUGCCCAGUCGUGGGGGAUAACACUUCGAAAGAAGUGCUAAUACCGCAUACGUCCUGAGGGAGAAAGCGGGGGAUCUUCGGACCUCGCGCGAUUGGAGUGGCCGAUGUCAGAUUAGCUAGUUGGUGGGGUAAAGGCCUACCAAGGCAACGAUCUGUAGCUGGUCUGAGAGGAUGAUCAGCCACACUGGGACUGAGACACGGCCCAGACUCCUACGGGAGGCAGCAGUGGGGAAUUUUGGACAAUGGGGGCAACCCUGAUCCAGCCAUUCCGCGUGAGUGAAGAAGGCCUUCGGGUUGUAAAGCUCUUUCGGCAGGAACGAAACGGCGAGCUCUAACAUAGCUUGCUAAUGACGGUACCUGAAGAAGAAGCACCGGCUAACUACGUGCCAGCCGCCGCCGUAACAC